UCCAACAGUCUGUUCACUUUUUGGACUGCUGCUGCGCAUUGAGCAGAUGUUUUCAGAGAACUGUCCCCAAUGACUCCAAGGUCCGUUUCUGGAGUGGUAACCACUAAUUUAGACCCCAUCAUUUUGUAGGUAGAGUUGGUAUUAUGUUUUCCAAUGUGCAUUACUUUGCAUUUAUCAACAUUGAAUUUCAUCUGCCAUUUUGUUGCCCAGUCACCCAGUUUUGAGAGAUCCUUU